UAGUAAAUCUAAUAUUGUAUUGACUUUCUCAACAAUUUCCUUAGCUGUUUCGUGAUCACUUUCAAAAUCAUGAUAUUUGUAGGUUGUGUGCAAAUGAGAGUAUCCUGCAUGUUCUGAAAUAUAUAAAUUACUAAGUUAAAUAACCCAGGAAUUGAUGAAAAACUGGGAUAAGGCAGUGGGCAAGGAAGUCGAGGAAGAUAUUUAAUACAAUAAUAUGGCUCCUAUUCUAAUUAACCUUCAGCAAGUAAAAUAAUUGAUUUAUUAAUGCACGCAUUUAGAUGUGAGCUUGAAAUCCCUAUUGUUUUGUAUAAAGAUUGUUCUACAUUUCAAAUUUGGAGAAGAGGACUGGAUGGUAUUUAACGUGUGAACUUCUAACACGCCGGGAAGAUUUCUGCCAUGAUACUGUGGGGAUGGUUAAACGACAAAGGGAAGAUCUUCCACCGAGCGGGUGAUAUUGCUCGGUAGACCGACGGUCCGAAUGUUUUUGCUCGGAACUUGUAUGUAUAUAUGCGGUAUGCAGCGGCUUGGCUCUGCCCCUGGCAUUGCUGAAGUCCAUAUGACGGUAACCACUCACCACCAGGUGGGCCGUAUGCUCGCCAGCAUAAAAGGGCAAUAAAAAAAAAAAAUAUAUAUAUAUAUGCAAGCUUAUCUUGAAAAUGUCGUAAGCGAGAUUCAGGCAUCUGUCAAUUAUCUUGCGUUGUAUGAUGGCUACCCGCCUCAAUACCAUCAAUGGCAAUUUUGGUUUCAUCCUACAUUCCUUUAAUUAAACCCUUUAGUUUUUACAGUUGCAAUAGUAUACUUUCUAUUAAGUUUAUGGCUCAUCAAAACAAAGAAAUAUACUCAAGUAUCAUAGCUGCUACUUACCCAAAAUACAUGUUUAUGAGUAACUAAAGGUUCAAUUUCUAUUCUAUCUAAUGAGAUGCCAAGUUGUACAGAAGUGUUAGUUCGUACUUUCCUUAAUAAUUGCACUUUAUAUGAUUUAUACUGUGGUGCUUCUGUGGCCAUUAUAUGACACUGAAUCUUUUCUAGGUUUGCAUCUUCACUGCUUUUUUUCUCUGAAAAUUUAGUUCCAUUCAUUUUACUUAAUAACUAUACUGAGACCUACGAACUUAUAUCUCAAGGUGGGUGGCGCAUUUACGUUGUAGAUGUCUAUGGGCUUCAGUAACCACUUAACACUAGGUGGGCUGUGAGCUCGUUCAACCAUUUAAGUAAUAAAAAAAAAGUAAUCAUACUUAACUUUUUAAAGUUUAUGUAUGGUCUUAUCUAUCAAACUGUAGUUUUUUCUGUAACUGUAAGAAGUUUAUUGAAAGAUUAAUCAAUUUUAACAAAAUAAAAGAACAAUAUGCUAACCUUCAUUAACAGCCCUUAAUGCACUUAUAACAGCUUCUGAAGUUUGACUUCCACCUGUAUUGUGUCUAGAUGGAUUAUUGUGACUUUGUCCAGAGUCGGUCAUUUUGGGAAAUAAAUGAAACACAUGACCGUCAUCGGGCAUUGGGAUUGGAGGACUGUUAAAUGAUUUCUUGUUUUUUAACUCAAUAAGUCCUAAACAUGUGAAGCCAAACUUUGAGCAUGGUUCGUUGGCAUCGAGGCAUGGGAACGCCCAGUCAACUUCUCCAUCAUCUUCCGCUAUACAAAGUCCAUAUUCAUGCACAGAGCCAAGACUAAUUUCAGGAUGUUCAAUGCUGUAAUGAAAAAUAAACAUUAAAAAGUGUAAGUCAUGUGUCCUGGUAUGAAGGAUAGCUAAUGCUCAUAUAUCACGUAGGCUGGUGUCAUUCAUAUUGUUACGCCGGUAAGAGCAACGCCAUCUGUUGUCCAAUAGAAGCAACGAAUAUCAAAAGAACUUGUAAAAUCGAGAACACCCAAGAAGUACAAUGCUAUCAAUUAUCAAAUAGCGGAAACACAUAGCUGGCAAUGAAAAAAGUGAAUUACGAGUUGUAAAGUGUUCUGAGAAUGUUCUAAGUGUUAAAUACAGUUUUAAGUUGUA